UACUGUUGGGUCGAUAACUGUAAUUAGAUCCCCAUACGGAUGAAAUGGCCAUUAUACCCCUAAAAGGUAAAUUGACAAAAAUACCCUUAUAUUACGUAUGAGUAUUUUUUAGCAUGACAUUUUUGCAUACACGUAUGAUAUUAUGUUGCAUUCCAUGGGGUGGGAUUCAUGAUUUUGGAGGAAGUAUACUGAAAGGCUUUAAGCCUAUUACUGGCAGCUCUACUGCAAAUACU
rnacentral:lncRNA from 1 species